CAAGUGGUGAAGUCUUACCGUGGUACUUUUAAGCUUGCUCCUUGGGUGACAGUGGCGGACGGGUGAGUAAUGUCUGGGAAACUGCCCGAUGGAGGGGGAUAACUACUGGAAACGGUAGCUAAUACCGCAUAACGUCGCAAGACCAAAGAGGGGGACCUUCGGGCCUCUUGCCAUCGGAUGUGCCCAGAUGGGAUUAGCUAGUAGGUGGGGUAACGGCUCACCUAGGCGACGAUCCCUAGCUGGUCUGAGAGGAUGACCAGCCACACUGGAACUGAGACACGGUCCAGACUCCUACGGGAGGCAGCAGUGGGGAAUAUUGCACAAUGGGCGCAAGCCUGAUGCAGCCAUGCCGCGUGUAUGAAGAAGGCCUUCGGGUUGUAAAGUACUUUCAGCGAGGAGGAAGGUGUUGUGGUUAAUAACCGCACAAUUGACGUUACUCGCAGAAGAAGCACCGGCUAACUCCGUGCCAGCAGCCGGUAAUACGGAGGGUGCAGCGUUAAUCGGAAUUACUGGGCGUCAGCGCACGCGGCGGUCUGUCAGUCGGAUGUGAAAUCCCCGGCUCACCUGGGACUGCAUCCAAAUGGGGUAAAUCUUGUAGAGGGGGUAGAAUUCCGGUGUACGUGAAUGUUAAAUUGGAGAUCCGUGG
rnacentral:rRNA from 1 species